UACGGAGGGGGCUAGCGUUGUUCGGAAUUACUGGGCUUAAAGCGCACGUAGGCGGCUUCGCAAGUCAGAGGUGAAAGCCCGGGGCUCAACCCCGGAACUGCCUUUGAGACUGCGUCGCUCGAAUCCGGGAGAGGCGGGUGGAAUAUGUCGUGUAGAGGUGAAAUGCUUAGAUAUUAGGUAGAACACCAAUGGCGAAGGCGGCCCGCUGGACCGUCAUUGACGCUGAGGUGCGAAAGCGUGGGGAGCAAACAGG
rnacentral:rRNA from 1 species